AGUAUUACUGUUUUGUGGACUAAUGAAAUAGAAGUCAAUAUGUUCUUGCUCAAUCCUGUGGUGCCUUGAAGGUGUUAAGAUUGUCAUGCUCAGCCUAAGCAAUUUGUGACAGUAAUUUAAAUUUCAAAAUGACUGAGUGACGUUUUUUCGACGCACUGGUCAACACCACCAUAGUGAAUCACAUGACUUUGAGUAAGUAUACACCAGC
rnacentral:lncRNA from 1 species